ACUUUAUUCCUAAACCAAUAACCUAAGCAUGUGAUGGUAUCAUUUGGUUGAACAUAUAUACUCAGAUACUUAAAACAUCUUGUUGCACUUUCCCCUGUUGGAUAAAAAGGCUGAUGAUAAUUCUCCAUUUCUUUAUGUGUCUUAAUGCUUAAAGCCAUCUGGUUGCCUGUGAACCAUUUUAGGUACCAUUAUGGACUAGGCUAUUUUACCUGGUUAAUUGAUUGCUUACAAAUACCACUUGGAGAAGAAGGAAUGAGUAACUCUGAGAAGAGAUGUGGACUUUAGAAAAUUCUCAGGAAGGAGCAUCUGUAGUAUUGGGAGAAAGCAAAAUGAAAUGAUAGACUGGCAGAAGUAAGCUUGCCAGCUUCCUAUGGAUUAAUAAUGUUUGUUGCUAAUGAUGUUGAGAUAAACUGAGAAAGCGUGCCAUUUAAAAAUUCUAAUAGGAAAUAGAGAGAUGGCUCAGAGUUAAGAGUACUGUACGCUCUUGCAGCGGACCUGGGUUCAGUUCCCAACACCCACAUGGUGGCUCACAACUGUCCAACCCCCCUUUUUAAUGUUUAUGGGUUUUUGUGCACAUAUGGUGCAUGAUAUGUGCACUCAGAUAUGCAUGAAUAAAUAUUUUUUGAAGUUAUAUUAACUCCUACUAUUUUUUCAUGGGAUGAUUUCAUAGUGUAUUUUUUCACAAUCAUAAUCAUUAUUUGCCUAUUCAUUUCUCUAAUACUUAUUGAGAGUGUACUUGCUAUGUGCUAUGGCGAUUUGGUUUUGAAGAUUGAAGGGAGGCAGGGCAAGAAAUUCUCAAUUAACUACAAUUGAAGAUACUAAGUGAUCUCUACAAGAUCAGGCCUAACUCACCUGUGGAGCUGAACUCUAGGAUUUUGACUACUUUCUCUGUUGCAUAGAAUAAUGGCAUUCAUUGUUCACAUUGCCACCUACAAACUAAAUUAUCUUACCUACUUCCAAAAAUGGAGAGCAUAUGAGGAAUGGUCAACUCCCUGCAUUGUCAUGUGUAUUCAAAACAAAGUUAUUUAUCAUCUACUGUUGUGGAAAAUGUUAUUUGGGAGUUUCUACCCCACCUUAGAUCAUUUAGUUCCCAAAUAAAAGAUUCCAAAUCUCUAUAUUUGUAAUAAGCUUUGUAGUACUAGAGCUGGGCAGAUAUCAACCCUCUGUGCUAUUUGUUCUACUUCACCAUCAGUAAUACUGAGACAUCACUUGCUCUGUUCUGCCUGGUCCACUCCUACUCCAACAGACUGGCCCUCAGGGCUAUGCAUCCUUGAUUUACCCCCUUGGUGCCUUCUUCCUCCUCUCUACAGAAGCCCUGCCUACCAUUCUUUUGCCCUGCUACAGGCAAUUUUAAAUUAAAGUAGCAGGGUUUGCACAACAAAAACUGGUAUUUGUGAAAAUUCACUUGAGGCAAAUAGACCUUGGGGUACAGAAUUUAGCAUUACAAUACAUAGCAGCAGACCAAUCCUCAACAAUUUACUGUAUUUCUGAUUUUCCACUAUUUGGUAUUCCUUAGAGAUACCUUUCAUGAAAAUUUCUUUGAAAUACACACACUGUAUCACCAAAUCCUUCAGUAUGACCUUAUCUAAAUUCAGUAACUCAAAUGCCUCAUUCUACCAAAAUAUUUGAAAUAUAACAAGCCCAAGUAACUUUUGAAUGGAGAAGAGAUUAACAUGGAUAAAGUUGGAAUGGAAUUGGGAGUCUAAGGCUGAGUAUUGUGAAAGGAGUGCUUGACAUGGCCUUUGGAAAGACGUGGGAGGAAUCUGCUGUAGAAAAGUUUUGUCAGUCUCUAUGGUACAUAGGCUCGGCUUUAGCCCUCAUACAUGUGAUUACUUCAACCUUUGUCAGGGGUCAGCACAAUCUGCCUGUUUCAUCUUCAUCGCCCACACUUGAAAACAUCUUAAUGUCUUUGUUUUUCUUGUGAGAGAAUUAGAUCUCAACUAUCUCAAUAUGUUUGACAAGCCUUAGUGUACAUUUACACCUGAAUUUGACAUGUAAAUAGCAUCUUUGUCAAACUGGAGGGAAUGUAAAUGAUGGAUAUGUCAGUGCUCAAUAAACAGUUCUAGAAUG
rnacentral:lncRNA from 1 species